CCCAGGCCACCCGCCCGCCCGCCGCUGGGGCUCGCCCAGAACGCGCAGCCAGGCUCCGCAGGCCGGGCGCCCUCCCAGCCAAGGCGGGGAUCUGGCCGCGAGCCGGGAGAGGUCCCGGAGGUGACCGCAGCGAGCCCCACCCCCUUCUCCCUCCCCAGUCCCCAAACUGCGGGGGCGGGAAUGGAGGGAAACCGGAGAAAGUGCACGCCCGCGGGCAGGCGGGGGUUGUGAGUGAUCUUAACCCGGCCGCAGCCCAGGAAGGCCGCGGGGCGGACGGGCGGGAGGGCCCUGGGCGGUGGCUGCGGGGGCGGACGGCCAGGCCCCGCGCAGCGUCUCCGGGCCUUAUAAGGGCUUCAAGUCAGCCCAGCCAUCUGGAAUGUGGCGGGGACCCGGGCUGAGGGAGGCGGGGCGGUGCUGGGACCUCCGCCCCCACGCCGGCCUCGGGAGGGCCCGCCCCACUCGUGGAUCUUGGGAGAGGAAGGUCCACCUAGGACGUGAGGGCCGAAGCCUGAAUUUCUGGGUCCUUCAAAAUCCCCUCGAAGCCGGAACUGCGGUGUCGGAAUCCGGGCCAGAGAUUGGUAGCCACACCUCCCACCACCCCUCGGAAGUCAGGUCUAUGGGUAGGGGCUGGGCCUCCCGGGCCACCUGGGAGGUGUUACCCGGGGCUCGGCCGCCUCCUGCUCCCCGACACGCCCUUCGAAAACCCGUUAGGAGGAAGUCAGGACUGGCCUACACUCUGGCGUUCUAGAAAGCGGGUACUGCCGGGUCCCAAGCAGGCAAGGAGGAAGAGCGCGAGCCACAACAACACAGAAGUGCCCCAAGGAAGGAGCAGUCCAAGAGUUAGCAAUCCGGGGUUGACAUGAUACCUCCACCGUCUCAAGGAACCGUCUCCCUCGUUGCUCUGUCCUCUUCAACAAGGGCUUCUGUCUGGGAUGCAGCAUGUGACCCAAUCAUACCACUGUGUUGGCAUUGCCCCCAGCAGGAAGAGGGGAAGGGGAGAGGUUGGCAUGCUUCCUUCUUUUCGAGGGAGUAAUCAUGAAAUUGCACACAUGCCAAUGUCCAGAACUUCGCUGCAUGACCAUGCAGAGCUCUAACGGAGACUUGCGGGAUCUAGUCUUCAUUUGGGGAGAUACAUGUCUAGAUAAACCUUCAUUGCAAGGAAGGAAAUUGGGGGAAACCACUGGAUAGGAAUAGACCGCAACUCAUAGGAUUAGACCACAACCCAGAUCUUUCCUCCGCGCUCCAAAUGUAUGUAUCAGAGUGCUCACUGUGCCUCCGUUUGGAUGACACCAAAGUCCAAACUCAAAACAUCUACAGCGCACAGAUGACCUUUCCUUCAAACCUCGUGGUUCCCAGGGCAGCACACACCGCCAGCGAGCAGAAGCCAGAAUUCGAGGGCAUCAGUGAUUAUCUCAGCUCCCACAUCCAGGACACCAAGUCCUGCCUUGUUUGCUUCCCAUAUUCCCUCUCGGAUUCAUCAAUUUCUCUACAUCUCGGUACUAGUCACACAUUGCUGGAUAAUAAAUUUCUCCAGAACUCAAGAACUUUGUUUUGUUUG